UGUUCACCUCUUCUUUUUAUCUACACAUUCACCUAUUUUCAUCAAUCCCAGAUGACAUGCACUGUACUCCAGGAAAGUUGUGCAUCCUCUCCAGCUGAGUCAGGACAUUCAGAUGACCCCAAAAUACUGUGCUCUGGGUUGGAGGAGGGUGUACUGGAGGUAACUUUUCAAUAACUGAAAAUCCAUAAUCACUAACACACUGUCUCAGCUUUAUGAGGUUAAUAUAUUCUAUCUCAGUAAGUAACUUUCAGGACAGUGAUGUUGUCAUCACUGGUGUCCAAUGAGGGGAGGCCUGUGCGGCUUUGCUGAACAGACGGGUGGAGGACUUUUGGGCCGUGUUUCUCGGCCAGCACACACGGUUGGAUGACAAGGUCAUCGACCACGCCCAGGCUCUUACGAAGAUGCUGCAUCCAUAUAUAGGAGGGCUCCAUGCAACCACCCUCCCUGCCGUCCACCGUACCUACACCAGCUCAGGGGUUUGUGAAGAUUCUUAAUGUCUCAGCAAAUCGCUGGAUUACGGUAAGUAACGUCGGCUGUAAGGUAGGUACAUUUAAUGUUUUUGAUUCUCUAGGGCAGCAUAAGACAGAGGAUUUCAUUGCACAGGUUACAUGCCUUCUUGCCUUUCCAGGGAAGAGUGUCCGGCUGCAGUGGCCUGAUGUCCAACAGCAGGCGGGUGGCUCAGAGUGGCUCUCUGCAGAGGUGAGGAUCCCUCCGUGCUCCAGUACCAUCAGCCAGCUAUGCAGACUCACAUCUUUGCUUCUUUUCCGGCUGGAAUUCUGAUACCCUUCCCCAGUACUGCAAGGUGCCCCACAGCCAAGGCAGUCCACGCUAUUGA